rnacentral:rRNA from 1 species
AGUGAACGCUGGCGGUAGGCCUAACACAUGCAAGUCGAACGGCAGCGCAGUAAGAGCUUGCUCUUACGGGUGGCGAGUGGCGGACGGGUGAGGAAUACAUCGGAAUCUACUUUUUCGUGGGGGAGAACGUAGGGAAACUUACGCUAAUACCGCAUACGACCUACGGGUGAAAGCAGGGGAUCUUCGGACCUUGCGCGAUUGAAUGAGCCGAUGUCGGAUUAGCUAGUUGGCGGGGUAAAGGCCCACCAAGGCGACGAUCCGUAGCUGGUCUGAGAGGAUGAUCAGCCACACUGGAACUGAGACACGGUCCAGACUCCUACGGGAGGCAGCAGUGGGGAAUAUUGGACAAUGGGCGCAAGCCUGAUCCAGCCAUACCGCGUGGGUGAAGAAGGCCUUCGGGUUGUAAAGCCCUUUUGUUGGGAAAGAAAAGCAGCAGGUUAAUACCCCGCUGUUCUGACGGUACCCAAAGAAUAAGCACCGGCUAACUUCGUG